CAAUACGCUGGGGAGAGAACUCCAGGCUCACACACGGGGGUGGUUCUUCGUGUACGCCUAGGGGCAGCCGUGGCCAUUGAUUGGAAUCAAUGCGCUCCCCAUCGUCUCUUAAAACAUGAUCCUGACGUUGUGCCUCAAAGUAUUAAUGCGCACUAAACGUAUGGCAAAAUAGAUCUGUCGUGCUGGACUUGGAAGGUGCCACGAGCUUCUUUUUAAAGAUGUGUGACUGAAACCUUGGCUUGGAGAGAGUCGCUGCCAAAAGACAUCCCUGAUAGACGAAACGAGGGUCUGAAACGGUAUAUGGCAGCUUUCUAGGUUCCUAUGAUGAGGCUUCUUUACUUGAAGUAUCAUCUGAUCCUUCUGGUGCAGCAUUUUCUUUAGAGUAGCCACUUCUUCCUUCAGCUGGGCUAUGAUGACAAAGUGGUCAGUGCCAGGAGAAUCCAAGGCAAGAUCUGGAGAAAAACUACAAGAAACAACAACAGUAACCUCAUUACACACCUUUGCUCCCCAAGACAUCUGGAAGGAUUUAUGUGGAGGAUAAGCCCUGAAGAAGAGAGGUCAGUCCCACAGAAUUACAAGCCUGGAAAGCACCCCUUGAAUAAUCCAGCCACUGCCAUUAACUGAGAGAGGACAUGCUACAUGACCAAUGUAUUUACUGAUAGAGAGUUGCUCCACUCGCAAAUUUAAGUUGGGCACAUUUAUUUAGCCUUUGUUGUAUGUGUUUUUAAACUCUGUAAUGCAAAAAGUUUCCAUUCCUUCCUCAGGCCAUUAACAGCAGCAUGCUUAACCUGAUAUUUAAUGUGGCUGCAUUUCUGCAUCAUACCGCCAUAUGCUCAAGGGGCAAAUUGGAAUUGCUCUACUUUUGAGUCUAUGGCUGCACUCCUGUGCACACUUGCUUGUGAGCAGUCACCCCUUGAAUUCAGUGGGACUUACUUUCAAACACACAUGCACAGGGUAGGGCUGCAUGUAUCUAAAAACAUACCACAGCAUUUCAUCUGGGGAGAGGGAUGAUGGUUAUCUAUCUUCUCACUCAUUGCUCCCUUUGCUAAAAAUAUACCCAAAUAUAAAUAUCCAGCCUGUCUCAUCUUUUGUCACCUCCCUUGCUUGAAAUAGUGUCAGAUGGCCUGUUUCUGUCCAGAUCCACAAUAAUCCUUCCUUGCAGCAUCAUUGUGUAACAUUGUUGUGCACUGCCCAGAACCUUUGGUCUAAAAAUGUAACAAAUAAAUAAUAGCUAGUUGCUCCUA